rnacentral:Y_RNA from 1 species
GGUUGGUCCAAGUGUAGUUGUGUUUACAACUAAUUGAUCACAACCGGUUACAGAUUCCUUUGUUCCUUCUCCACUCCCACUGCUUCACUUAACCAGCCUUUA